GCCAGUGCAAUCUGCUCUGUGCUGCUUAGACCAGCCGCAUAUUCUACGUGGAGCAGAGCGAAGAGACGCUUCUGGGUCACGGCACUGGCUUCUUGUGGAAUUUUAAGCAAUUUCUAGAACGGUUGUAGUCAGCUGCAGCAAACGUGGACCGGAACGUAUUGUGGCCAUGCCCAUUGGAAUUUGGGGCUUUAAAUAGGGUGGCCAUUUCCUUCACAUCAAAAAGGAGGACACUUUGCAUACACGGGGACACGCAAGCAGCAGGCAAUGCUACCUGGGAGAGGGUUCAGAAUGAGCGACAGGACUGGAGCAGGGCGAGUGCGCAAUGGAAACGGAUUCACAGCCUGUAAGACUGACAGAGGCCAGCUGAUCUACACUCUGACUCUGGGAAUGAAGACAUGGCGGAUUCAGACAGGGGAAGGGGAGGAAUGAAAUGGAGGAAGAGGAGCGAGUUUGUUGUAAAGUAUCGAUUGUUGUAAAAUCAGGGAUAUACUAAAUACUAUAGGGGACAGCCCUAUAGUAAAGUAAAUUGAAAGAUAAUUCACUGCAAAGCCUGGUUAACUGAUGGCCUUAAGACUAUCUAGUGUUUUAAACCUGUUCAGUCUGAUAUAAUGAACACAAGAUUUUUAGAAAUAAAUCCUUAAUGUAGAAGUGUUUUCAUAACUGUGGUACAAAAAACAGGAAGACUCUACUACCAAAAAGUGAACUUAUAAAUGCACUUAUGAAUCCAUCAGAGUUAUCUUAACUUAAUCCCCUUCAGCAGGUUUAACUUCAGCUGAAGACUUGUAAAUGCCAGUCAUGCUCAUGUACUCAUUAGACUUGAACCCAACCUUAAGCACACAUCUGAGAGUUGACAAGAACCUGUGAUGAACUGGAUGGUAGCCACCUCUCACCAAGGCUCAAGAGCUAAAAACAAAAGAACAAUGCACAGCAGGAGUUCUAAAAGGGGAGCAUGGAGCCUCUGAAGCUUUUUUGUGCGAACCUCUAAGGUUUGCUCUGAAAAGGCUCAUAUGCUUUGAGCUGAAGGAUUUAUCCUAUAUCAUCUGAUAAAAAAAAAGAAUUUUGGAUCUGUAUCUUGCAUGUUUUGUGUAUAAUCACCUGAAUAUAAGAAUCGUGUUGUUGUUACCAUAGAAUGAGCUGUUUUUAUCUACAGACACUGCGAGUCAGCCACGUAACAUUUCACACAACGUCAAAUACAGAUGCGAGCUGUGUUCAGUUAGUUGCAAUCCGCAUAUUCACCACUAGAUACCGCUAAACCUAACACACUGGUCCUUUAAAUGCUUUUAAUGUGAACCUGCAGCUUGAUCACCCGUGGUGGCUGGCUGUUAGUUUAGGAAGCGCAGUUUUCUAUGAGAUGAGCACGCAUUUCAAACAUCAAGAUCGUAAAUGAUCAUGUUCAUUUAAUUGUGGGAAGCAAAAAUCGUGAUCAUGAUAUAUUAUUCGAUUAAAUGUGCAGCCCUAUGAGAGAGAGUUAAAUGCAUUUCCAUGUACUUAAAUAACCAGGUUACAGUCUGCUCUCUUCAGUAAGCUGAUUUCUUAAAUGUCAAAUAAACAAGAAAUAUGGUUUCUGUAAUUGGGGUACGGAGCACCCUUUAUGCAAAGGCGCACAACUUCAGACACCGACUCAACUAACUGGCAUCUUAAUCACCAUCUUAGUACCGUCCAACACCAGUGUAGCCAAUCAGAGUCCGUCAACCCGGACUUUCCUUCAUAACCCUGAGUCAUAUCUGAGUAGGUUUACCUCCAUUCAUAGUACAGACCUCAGGUCACUGGAGCGCAUGCACAGGCAGAGAACCAGAGUUAAUGAAGGACAGCCAGACAGAGAUAAGCGUGAGUGAGAGGGCAGGGCGAGAUCUCAAGAGACUUCUAGCAACAACGUGAGACUGAGAGGAAACA